rnacentral:rRNA from 1 species
UUGAAGAGUUUGAUCAUGGCUCAGAUUGAACGCUGGCGGCAGGCCUAACACAUGCAAGUCGAGCGGUAGCACAGAGAGCUUGCUCUCGGGUGACGAGCGGCGGACGGGUGAGUAAUGUCUGGGAAACUGCCUGAUGGAGGGGGAUAACUACUGGAAACGGUAGCUAAUACCGCAUAAUGUCGCAAGACCAAAGUGGGGGACCUUCGGGCCUCAUGCCAUCAGAUGUGCCCAGAUGGGAUUAGCUAGUAGGUGGGGUAACGGCUCACCUAGGCGACGAUCCCUAGCUGGUCUGAGAGGAUGACCAGCCACACUGGAACUGAGACACGGUCCAGACUCCUACGGGAGGCAGCAGUGGGGAAUAUUGCACAAUGGGCGCAAGCCUGAUGCAGCCAUGCCGCGUGUGUGAAGAAGGCCUUCGGGUUGUAAAGCACUUUCAGCGGGGAGGAAGGCGGUGAGGUUAAUAACCUCACCGAUUGACGUUACCCGCAGAAGAAGCACCGGCUAACUCCGUGCCAGCAGCCGCGGUAAUACGGAGGGUGCAAGCGUUAAUCGGAAUUACUGGGCGUAAAGCGCACGCAGGCGGUCUGUCAAGUCGGAUGUGAAAUCCCCGGGCUUAACCUGGGAACUGCAUUCGAAACUGGCAGGCUAGAGUCUUGUAGAGGGGGGUAGAAUUCCAGGUGUAGCGGUGAAAUGCGUAGAGAUCUGGAGGAAUACCGGUGGCGAAGGCGGCCCCCUGGACAAAGACUGACGCUCAGGUGCGAAAGCGUGGGGAGCAAACAGGAUUAGAUACCCUGGUAGUCCACGCCGUAAACGAUGUCGAUUUGGAGGUUGUGCCCUUGAGGCGUGGCUUCCGGAGCUAACGCGUUAAAUCGACCGCCUGGGGAGUACGGCCGCAAGGUUAAAACUCAAAUGAAUUGACGGGGGCCCGCACAAGCGGUGGAGCAUGUGGUUUAAUUCGAUGCAACGCGAAGAACCUUACCUGGUCUUGACAUCCACAGAACUUUCCAGAGAUGGAUUGGUGCCUUCGGGAACUGUGAGACAGGUGCUGCAUGGCUGUCGUCAGCUCGUGUUGUGAAAUGUUGGGUUAAGUCCCGCAACGAGCGCAACCCUUAUCCUUUGUUGCCAGCGGUUCGGCCGGGAACUCAAAGGAGACUGCCAGUGAUAAACUGGAGGAAGGUGGGGAUGACGUCAAGUCAUCAUGGCCCUUACGACCAGGGCUACACACGUGCUACAAUGGCAUAUACAAAGAGAAGCGACCUCGCGAGAGCAAGCGGACCUCAUAAAGUAUGUCGUAGUCCGGAUUGGAGUCUGCAACUCGACUCCAUGAAGUCGGAAUCGCUAGUAAUCGUAGAUCAGAAUGCUACGGUGAAUACGUUCCCGGGCCUUGUACACACCGCCCGUCACACCAUGGGAGUGGGUUGCAAAAGAAGUAGGUAGCUUAACCUUCGGGAGGGCGCUUACCACUUUGUGAUUCAUGACUGGGGUGAAGUCGUAACAAGGUAACCGUAGGGGAACCUGCGGUUGGAUCACCUCCUU